UCCACCAUAUUCCCCAUUUCUCAAUCCAAUAGAGUGAUUCUUUUCUGCAUGGAGGUGGAAAGUGUACAAAGGCAGACCCCACGAGCGUGUGGCUCUACUUCAUGUAAUGGGGGAGGCAUGAUGACAUCCACGCAGAUGAUUGCCAAAGAUGGAUUUGCCAUGCGUGGCGUUUUUCCCACACUGUUUGGCGAGGGAGAAUACUGCAGCUGAUGUAGAUGAGGUCUUCUGGCCUGACCGAGAUCAGGGGUCUGAAGAACAGUGAUCUGUUUCUUUGCAUUUUGCAAUAAAUAAAUUUAUGUGUCCUCUUUGUAUGUGAAUUUUCCUUAUCAUGUUUCUCAUUGUGAAAAUAGGUGAAAAUUACAGUUUUGGAACAUAUUGCAUACAGUAAAUAUAGCGUACAUUUGUGUAGUACUGUAAAUGGGGGGGUCCCACACCACAACAAAUAAAUAAAAACAACAGAAAGCCAACAUAUUUCCAUGGACUUGUCUGCAUUUGAAUUUGUACAGUGGCCUCAUGAAGUCAAAAACACAACCAAAUACUUCUGAUAACAGUGCUCUGAAUUGAUCUUGUCAGUGUUUAUUUGAUGCUCUGUAAGAGAUAAGCAUAAAAUAUCUGUGUGUGUUGUUUUGGUGGAAGGAAUCAGUUUUGCUGGAGAUUUGUGGCGUUUCAACAAAGGAGUUAAUAAUUUUCAGUUUGUGUUUAGAGUUUUGAGAAACUGAGCCAAGUUUUUAGAAAAGCGUUUAAACAUUUGGGAAAAACUGUAAUGAAGGGAGACAAAGAAGAAGAAGAAGCUUCCCUUUAACCAAAUUACAAAGAACACAAAGAGUCUGAUCUGAAUCAGCACACUCAACAAAACAGACAGCAGCCAUCAGAAAGGCCGGGGGUGAGCCGGGGGGGACGAGCCCACUGCAGUGAGCAGCUGCAGCACAAACGCUGGCGGUGUAAUAUACGAACGGCCAUAUUCAUAAAACAUGAAUCUGCUCUCCAUUCAAUCAUUUGGCCGCGCUGAGCGCCGGCUUAUUGGACAGACCACUGAAGGGUCCCUCUCGCCAGCCUAAAUCAGAGCUGACACUGAAAAUACUGUACCAGAACACACACAAACACAAGUGCUGCCGGCCUGAGGAGACUGACACAGAGUGACUGCUGAUCCAACUCUGUGUGUGUGUGUGUGUGUGUGUGUGUGUGUGUCUUUAACACUGCUGGCUAAAGCACCAGCAAGCGCUCCAGAGCUGAUCUGUAAAUAAAAGACAAUAAUCUGAAGUGCUUUAGAGCUUAGAGAUACACAAUGUAACAAUGGCUGUUUAUUGUAUAAAUCAAUAAAUAGGAAAAUACAGAUGUGUGAGGUGUAAAGCAGGUGUGUGAGGUGUAAAGCAGAUGUGUAAGGUGUAAAGUAGAUGUUUGUGGUGUAAAGCAGGUGUGUGAGGUGUAAAGCAGGUGUGUGAGGUGUAAAGCAGAUGUGUGAGGUGUAAAGCAGAUGUGUGAGGUGUAAAGUAGAUGUUUGAGGUGUAAAGCAGAUGUGUGAGGUGUAAAGCAGAUGUGUGAGGUGUAAAGCAGAUGUGUCUCCAGAUGUUGUAGAUGAUGUGAGCAGUCAGUGAGCUGCAGAGGAGAAGAAUGGAGUGAUGCUCUGUGUGGGGAUGGG